CGCGUAGGCGGGAUGGCAAGUCGGUCGUGAAAUCCUUCGGCUCAACCGAAGAACGUCGGCCGAUACUGCCGUUCUUGAGGGAUGCAGGGGAGAUUGGAAUUCCCGGUGUAGCGGUGAAAUGUGUAGAGAUCGGGAGGAACACCGGUGGCGAAGGCGGGUCUCUGGGCAUCUCCUGACGCUGAGGCGCGAAAGCGUGGGGAGCAAACG
rnacentral:rRNA from 1 species